rnacentral:lncRNA from 1 species
AAAAGUAUGUGUCAACUUCAGAUUGCAGAUUUGCCAAAGCUUCAUGUAGAGCCCUUCUCUCUUUUAUCACGAGUAAAAGUUCAGGUUUAAAAUAGAACAACGGAUGACUAAUGCCAUUUCCAGCUGUGACUGAAUUCUCCACUGCCUGAUGCUUUUCAAAUGUAUCUGAAUCAGAAUCGAACACCCACUUUAUGCAUAGCUCCCUAAUCAGGAAGUUAUUCUUCCCAUCAAAGCAACUGGAAAGAAAAAAGAUAAAACAAUGAAGGGAGGAGAAAACACAAAAGUUCAAGAAGAGCAGAAUGUUCCGGUCUGUGGCGUUGACAUUAUCAAUGCUAUGGAUGCCUCAAGGCUCUCAUAAAAAUACAUGGCUUCAGCAAUACGCAUGCAGUUAUCUCAGUUUAAAGGAAAUGGGUUCUGCUCCCUGCUUAAUAAGAAAUCCUGCUUACUUCUCCAGCUUUUGAAGCACAGAUUAUUUUUCUUCUCUUCAUCAUAUAAAAAUGGAAAUUAUCAAAACAAAACAUCAUCAAAACAAAACAUCAUCAAAAACAGGUUGCUCUCUGAGUAAAG